GUUACAUAAAAGGAAGGAGUAAAGUAACAUAGAACAUUUGUUCUGCAGAGUCAGGGAAGGCUUCACAAUACAGGUGGCCCCUGAGCAGCUAUGAAGAUUGGGCAGGGCUCUGCCAGAGAAUGAUAGAGGGCUUCAGGAUUCAAAACUUUGAUGAUGGAACAGAUCUGUGAAUGGAGGUGUCAAUGGAUUAACAUGUGUAUUCCCAGAGCCUAUGCAGCCCUUGACUUGGAUGACCAAGUGAAUGAAUAAUAAAUCUGAAGUCCAAGUUAAGCAAAUGCAAAGCCUGGAAGUGUGUGGGAGGCUGCCUGGGGUCCAAAGCUGACAGGAGCAAGCAAACAAGGACAUUGAUUGCCUGCCACAUGCAAGAUUGGGUCCAGGUGCUGAAGAAACACAGAUGUGCUGCAUCCUUGACUUUAAGGAGCAUCCCUGGGUUGGAGGGAUUCUCUGCAGGCUGCUGUGGUGGAGGGAAGAUUUGCCCAACUUACUCUUGGCGCUGGACCCCCUGAGCCAUCUUCACACACCCAGGUGAACUUUGGGAAGGUAACAGCUUUUCAGUUGCAAACCCAAGUGAAUUAGAGCAAAACAGAUCCCACGUGCUUGACACAUGGAAACUUUCAGAGCCAAUGGUUUAUAAACUUACCAAGAGCUGGGGGAGUAAACACAUCCCAGGGAACUGUGGAGCACUUCUCUGGCAUUGAUACACAUAAGCAGAAAGCACAGCCUUCCCCGACACUUGCCUUAAGAUAGUCUUUUGUCUUAGAACCCAGAGGCUUACCUGAGCUAAACCACAUAAAGUGCUUAGUGCGAUGCCUUGAACAUACCAAGCUCUUAAUAAACGCUAAGGUCACUAUUAGCAUUGCUUGUCAUGGAAUAAACCUAGGAUACAUCUAUAAAACUGUCCAUAAUCUUCCUUGCCUUGUGGAAAGUUGUUCCACUAUUCCAACAUCCUUUUAGGGGUUCUCAGCUAAUCUACCUUUCAAAACGAAAAUUUAUUAUACACUUCUUAAGUGCUAGGUAGUUUUGUAUAUUUAUGUGUAUUAUCUCAUUAAAUGAUCUCUCAGCCCUCUGAGAAAAGCACUAUUAUCAUCCAUAUUUCACAGAUGAAGAAAUCGUCAGAGUUUCCAUAUAUCAUUGUCAGAGAUGUUAAGCAACUUGCUUAAGGUUACACAGCCUUAGCAGAAGUACUUGUUUGACUCCAAAGCCUACCAUUAUGCUGGAAUCACUAGAAUCCAGGUGGCCUAUCUGAACCCGGAUUCAGGCAUCUGAAGCUGAAUAGCUGCCAUUCUUGCUUUUAACCUCCUGGUAAAAGCAGGCUAUGCCUGAUCUAUCUAUCUAUCUAUCUAUCUAUCUAUCUAUCUAUCUAUCUAUCUAUCAAUCAUCUAUCUAUCUGUCUAUCUAUCUAUCUAUCAUGGCCUGGCUAUGCCACAUCUAUAUUCCAUGAUGUCCACUGACCAGAGGGUUUCCCUUAUCCAAUCCAUACAUGUGCCAAUAAACAAACAUUUAGUGAGCACCAACAUAGUUGCUUCUCUCCUAUAAUCAACACAGGAAUGGUUAAGUUUGGAAUAAAUUACUUUUCCUAACACUUGCAUAGGACUGGACUGUUUGCUUUCAAAUACUUGGUUUUGCUUCAUGCUCACAACUCUGGGAUAUAGGAAUGAUUAUUUUCAUUUCACAGCUGCAAGAACCAAGCUCAAAGAGGAACUGCUGCUUGCCAAAGUUUCACAGAUAGAAAUGGGGGAGCUGGGGCCAGAACCCAGCUCUGCUGACACCAAGCCCAGAGUUUGUACCAUGACACUGGGCUGCUCCCUCGGAGCUGGGUUUGGCUGAUGACCUCAACUCUGAGCACCCGUUGCCUCCCACUGUUCCGUUCAGGCCUGUGCGAGAAAGACUCCCAGGCCCCUGGGUUCUCCAUAGCCCACACUUCCACUCGGCUCCGCUUCUCUUGCCCAGCUGUCUCUCCUCCAAGGAGCGGACAGGGCGGACACGAGACCCGGGUGCCCUUUUGUCCUCUAUUCCAGCUCUGGGCGGAUCCUCCUCCCAUGAUGUGGAUGAUGCUGAGGAGAAAGUGGUAAGGCUUUUAGGAGGAACACUCCUGAUUCACGGAAAUGAAAAUAGCUGCUGGGUUGUUGCUGAAACUCUGUCCCCAUGGUGGGCUUUCUAUUAGCAGGGAAGGGGUCAGGCUGGCGCUCUGGUUGCUGGAGGGCGUCAGAGGGACAACUGAGUGUACCCCAGAGUCAGGCACCCUGCGGUCUCCCAGGCCGGGGCCUGAGCCUUGCUAGGAGGGCGGACAGCCAGGGCCGGCGCUAGUUUUCUUGGGCGUGGUGGAGGACGCCUUCCACCAAACGAAGUUGCCGAGAGGAGUCAGAUCUGCUCUCACCUUUUGGGCUUUUGGGGAACCCAGGCAGAAAAAUCUCAGUGAGGCACAGGAAGGAAAAUUUUGCAAAAUGUGCUGCUGCCGCUCCUCAGCAGAGUAUAGUGGGCGGUUUGAAGCUGUUUUCUUGGUGUUCAAGUGGCUGGGGCCCUGGCGACCCCGGUCAGCCUUUCUGGGGCAGCCCGGGUGGGUCUGAAAGCCAGGGCUCCCCUCCGUGUGUGGGAGCAGAGCCCAAGCUGCGGAAACCACCGGGCGCGGGGUUGUUUUUGGAAGGCUCCGACGCCGAUCAGCCAAACUGAUAUCCCUUAUAUUGUGUGAAAACAUUGGCUCCCACGCUGGGACUCCAGUGUUUCCGCCUAGAGCAGAUUUUGCCUUUGGGAAGGUGGUGGUGUUCCUGGGAUGAGGGGCCCUCCUCUUACCGGACACGCAGGAGAGCAGCCCACAUGGAAGUGAGGGCCUCAGCCUUCGUGCUCCCUCAGACGGUCCUCCCUCUCGGCUGCCCAGGGGAGCCAAAGACAUUUUUUAGAUGUCCCAGUGUCUUGCAGUGCCGCGGGCAGCACUCCAGGACCCUCUUUGUUGGUGUAGCUGCUCACAAGCCAACCUUCCUGAUGGGGAGCUUCCUGAAGGCCUCCCUCUCCACUCCUCUCCCCACAUCCCAGGCCCAAAGUCCAGUCCUAAGAGAAAAAAAGCCACCCAGAAACUUUGUAGGGGCACCUAGGACGGCUGAGACCACUGGCAUUGGACCCCAGUAAAAGUCACAGACACAGAUCACUGGGAGGGCUCCUCCCUGAGGCCUUUAUCUCACUUAGAAUCUCAGCACAGAAUGUUCUAGCUGGUGUUUCUUGAGCAUAAACCUUUAUUCCAAUUGCAGUGGCUCUGAUAGAAAAAACAGGGCACAUUUCAUCAUACUUCUACCCUAAUCAAAUGGCUCUCAUGCCAAAGCUCCCUACGUUUCUAAUUUGCCCUAUUUGGAUGGCGUUGGAGGUGGGGCCGGACAGCGAGAAUUACAGAGGGAAUGAAUAAGACCAUUUGCUCUUUUCUCGGAUGGACAAUUUGGGCCUGUUCUCUUGAAAACCAGUGUAGGCAUUUCAUCCUCGGGGGGAGACAGGAUGGAUAGGAGGGGAAAUUUUCUGUCUUAAUAUAAGUGCUCUGUCUGGGGGAAUAUUGUGGCUUCAAGGAAAAUACAAAAUGAAAGUUGCAGGGGAAGGGGGUCGUGUGAGGCUGGGUGGAGCCCUGCUGCAGGCUGAACCCUGGAGUCCCUCUGUCACCUUCACUCCUAAGAUGCUCUGGAUGGAGUCAGUGUUUAUUAGCACAUCCAAAAAGCCCCACAAGAACCACCCAGGUUGCUAACUUUCCUGGAGGCUGGAGAGUGCUGGUAAAGAUGAGAGAUCACACCUCCCUCCUCCUCCUGCUCUGUCCUCCCCUCCCCUUCUUCACAUCCACCUCUGGCCUUCUCUUUGUCAUCCUUGUUUCAUUUCCCCUGUUUGGGAGAAGCAGAAAGCCGUGGUUUCCUGCCGGCCCACCUGUCCUCCACAUCUCCAGGUUUAUUUGGUUCUUACUCCAUUUACUUAGUCUUUCUGCCCCACCCUCUUCUCUGCAGGUCCCACGGCCCCAGUCACCUUUGGUC
rnacentral:lncRNA from 10 species